GAUGGCUACUGGGGGAGGGAGACUGUGCUGUGUUGCUCCUGCCCAGUAGGACUCCACAUCCAUGCGAAUUUGGGCAGCACUAAUUGGACUCAGGAGUGAUGUGCCUUUGGGAGACGUGCGCGAGAGGAAAACAGGCGUCAUCACUUACUGCGUGGAGCUAGCGCCCAUCGGUUAUCUAGGAGCUGGGGUCGGCCGAGAACGUGAUGCAGAUUUCAGCGACUUCAUGGGAGAUGAAAGCAGAAGUCACUGACCACGCGCCCGAGGACAAUGGAUGAAGCCACUGCAGCAUACUCUGGUUUCUCUUCAGAGCCUAUAAAUCUUUCACCUUUUACUAAAGAUUUCUGUGGAAAGAAACAGCUCUGAAUCAUAGCCCAAUUUUUUAAAAUAUUUAUUUAUGUAUAC